GACUUCCUCUUUUCUGGGUACCGCCUGCUGGCGCGGGAUCUCGGCCGGGUGGUCGGUUCUCGCGAGUUCCUUGUAGCCUUUAGUGACGGGAGGUUCCUUUCAGAGCCAGACGCCAAGAGCGGAGGCUUGGAUCUUUUUUCGAGCGGUUGCUGGCUGCACCGGGGGUGUGACGAGCCGUGGGACCCAGCUCUGAGGAAAAAGUAAAGCAUACCUGGGAGAUUCCAUGUCCAGUGGGGAACCCAAUGCAGGGCUUGAACUCACGACUCUGAAAUCAAGGGUUAGACACUUAUACUGAACCACCUAGGCGCCCUAAAGCUCACGUCUUAAACAGAAGGUCAGGUCCCUAUACUGGAAGAACAGUGAAAGCCAUGGUGAAUGAUUCUAGACAAGGACUUUCUGAGCCUAAGGAGUCGUGAACAGAUGGAUGAGGGAUGACAUGUCAGUUUCUCAACCUAAAGCGCUGGCUAAGACAACUAUGCUUCUCACCUUCCUUCAGUAACCUCAA